rnacentral:rRNA from 1 species
UGGGGAAUCUUGCGCAAUGGGGGAAACCCUGACGCAGCGACGCCGCGUGGGUGAUGAAGGCCUUCGGGUUGUAAAGCCCUGUGGGAGGGGACGAAUAAGUGCACGUGAAUAUCGUGCAUGAUGACGGUACCCUUUUAGCAAGCACCGGCUAACUCUGUGCCAGCAGCCGCGGUAAUACAGAGGGUGCAAACGUUGUUCGGAUUUACUGGGCGUAAAGCGCGUGUAGGCGGUGAUGCAAGUCGGAUGUGAAAUCCCAGGGCUCAACCCUGGAAGUGCAUUCGAUACUGCGUCGCUUGAGUCUCGGAGAGGAGGGUGGAAUUCUUGGUGUAGAGGUGAAAUUCGUAGAUAUCAGGAGGAACACCAGUGGCGAAGGCGGCCCUCUGGACGGUGACUGACGCUGAGACGCGAAAGCGUGGGUAGCAAACAGG